AUUUCAAUGAGCCUGAUGUACUACUUCGACCGUUACCCUCGAAACGGCUGCGCUCGGGACUAAUCUACGAAAUCUCCCGCCAAAACGCCACCGUCUCCUCUCCUCCUCUCGACCGUGACGUCCCGGCUCGCAGAAACGAAGAAGAUUAAUCAAUUUCUAGUAAAAGUGGUGGCGAUGUUGCCGACGAACCUGGUCAUCCGUUAUCCACGACCAGGAUAACGUACUUCGUUCUACAGGGUGUAUUUUUCGACCGGACACGC